rfam:Ixodes scapularis strain Wikel colony gcontig_1108379578606, whole genome shotgun sequence.
GCCUCGGUUGCUCCAAGGCGAGAGCGCCGGCCUACGGAUCCCCAGGUGGCGGGUUCGAAUCCCGACCGAGGUG